UCGGUGAUGACGCUGGGAACGCGAGCGGCGGAUGGGUGAGUAACACGUGGGUAACCUGCCCUAAAGUCUGGGAUACCACUUGGAAACAGGUGCUAAUACCGGAUAACAACAAUAGCUGCAUGGCUAUUGCUUAAAAGGCGGCGAAAGCUGUCGCUAAAGGAUGGACCCGCGGUGCAUUAGCUAGUUGGUAAGGUAAUGGCUUACCAAGGCGACGAUGCAUAGCCGAGUUGAGAGACUGAUCGGCCACAUUGGGACUGAGACACGGCCCAAACUCCUACGGGAGGCAGCAGUAGGGAAUCUUCCACAAUGGGCGAAAGCCUGAUGGAGCAACGCCGCGUGAGUGAAGAAGGUUUUCGGAUCGUAAAGCUCUGUUGUUGGUGAAGAAGGAUAGAGGUAGUAACUGGCCCCUAUUUGACGGUAAUCAACCAGAAAGUCACGGCUAACUACGUGCCAGCAGCCGCGGUAAUACGUAGGUGGCAAGCGUUGUCCGGAUUUAUUGGGCGUAAAGCGAGCGCAGGCGGAAAGAUAAGUCUGAUGUGAAAGCCCCCGGCUUAACCGAGGAAUUGCAUCGGAAACUGUGUUUCUUGAGUGCAGAAGAGGAGAGUGGAACUCCAUGUGUAGCGGUGGAAUGCGUAGAUAUAUGGAAGAACACCAGUGGCGAAGGCGGCUCUCUGGUCUGUAACUGACGCUGAGGCUCGAAAGCAUGGGUAGCGAACAGGAUUAGAUACCCUGGUAGUCCAUGCCGUAAACGAUGAGUGCUAAGUGUUGGGAGGUUUCCGCCUCUCA
rnacentral:rRNA from 1 species